rnacentral:rRNA from 1 species
AGAGUUUGAUCCUGGCUCAGAAUCAACGCUGGCGGCGUGCCUAACACAUGCAAGUCGAACGCGAAAGGGAGCAAUCCUGAGUAGAGUGGCGUCCGGGUGAGUAACACGUGAAUAAUCUACCUGCGGGCGGGGAAUAACUUUCCGAAAGGAAGGCUAAUACCGCAUAAAAUCUAGCUGGGAUAGCCUAGUUAGAUCAAAGAGGGGGAUCGCAAGACCUCUCGCCUGUAGAGGAGUUCGCGGCUGAUUAGCUAGUUGGCGGGGUAAAGGCCCACCAAGGCGACGAUCAGUAGCCGGCCUGAGAGGGCGGUCGGCCACACUGGCACUGAAAUACGGGCCAGACUCCUACGGGAGGCAGCAGUGAGGAAUAUUGCGCAAUGGGGGCAACCCUGACGCAGCAACGCCGCGUGAGUGAGGAAGGUUUUCGGAUUGUAAAGCUCUGUCGAGCGGAAAGAAAUGCAUUAUGGCUAAUAUCCAUCAUGCUUGACGGUACCGCUAAAGGAAGCACCGGCUAACUCCGUGCCAGCAGCCGCGGUAAUACGGGGGGUGCAAGCGUUGUUCGGAAUCAUUGGGCGUAAAGCGCGUGUAGGCGGCUGGACAAGUCAGAUGUGAAAGCCCUGGGCUUAACCCAGGAAGUGCAUUUGAAACUGUUCGGCUAGAGUAAGGGAGAGGAAAGUGGAAUUCCUGGUGUAGAGGUGAAAUUCGUAGAUAUCAGGAGGAACACCGGUGGCGAAGGCGACUUUCUGGCCCUAUACUGACGCUGAGACGCGAAAGCGUGGGUAGCAAACAGGAUUAGAUACCCUGGUAGUCC